GCUGGGCAUGAUGGUAUAUGCCUGUAGUCCCAGCUACUUGGGAGGCUGAGGCAGGAGAAUCGCUUGAACCCAGGAGGUGGAGGUUGCAGUGAGCCGAGACCGUGUCACUGCACUCCAGCCUGGGUGACAGAGCGAGACUCUGUCUCAA
rnacentral:SRP_RNA from 1 species